GACGAACGCUGGCGGCGUGCUUAACACAUGCAAGUCGAACGAAGAGCGAUGGAAGCUUGCUUCUCUCAAUCUUAGUGGCGAACGGGUGAGUAACGCGUAAUCAACCUGCCCUUCAGAGGGGGACAACAGUUGGAAACGACUGCUAAUACCGCAUACGAUCUAAUCUCGGCAUCGAGGAAAGAUGAAAGGUGGCCUCUAUUUAUAAGCUAUCACUGAAGGAGGGGAUUGCGUCUGAUUAGCUAGUUGGAGGGGUAACGGCCCACCAAGGCGAUGAUCAGUAGCCGGUCUGAGAGGAUGAACGGCCACAUUGGGACUGAGACACGGCCCAGACUCCUACGGGAGGCAGCAGUGGGGAAUCUUCCGCAAUGGACGAAAGUCUGACGGAGCAACGCCGCGGGAGUGAUGACGGCCGUCGGGUUGUAAAGCUCGGUUAAUCGGGACGAAAGGCCUUCUUGCGAACAGUUAGAAGGAUUGACGGUACCGGAAUAGAAAGCCACGGCUAACUACGUG
rnacentral:rRNA from 1 species